CUCUGGGGCCCUUCUCCUCUGUUCUCCUCAGUGGCCCUCAGGCUGGGCAGGUUUGAUUUUCCAGCAGUGACAGUUAUCUUCUUGAUGAACAGAGUUUCCAGAGUUCAGAUCCAGGGUCAUCUCUGGAGGAGGAAUGUCAAGGAUUGUGGCCCUGUGGGUCCUCCCUGUACAGGUGAAUGACAGCAAGUUUCCCAGGGAAGUGCUGUAUGUAAGCUGCAAGCAAUGUAGCACGGAGGGCAGAUGGCCUGGAUUGUCCUUUGUGGGGAGCCACAUUGAGCCCAGUUCCCCUGGAGUGACCCUGAGUGUUUUAGUCCUGAGAAAUGCGACAGUCCUUUACCAACUCCCCUCCUGCCCCUAUCCCUCCAAGUACAAGUCCACAGUGACACAAUGUGCUGCUGCUCAGAUUUUCAAGUCAAGACAAAGUGUCAUCAGUUAACUUCAAAGGAAAAAUCUUUUGGAAAAGAAUUUCAAGCAAUGACUCAGAAAGUUUCCCUAAGAGGCAAUCCAGAGGCAUCUAAGUCUCAACAGGCUUUUAGGACCAAGGCAGGAGCAGAACAUUCAUGUAAAAAAAAAUCAUAGGAAUGGGCAGAAGGAAGUUCUUUUCCCAAAAGAAAGGUUCCAGGCAAAUGGCCAGCACCCCUGAAAACCAACACAGCAGGGAAAGACCAGAAAUACAACAAAUUGGAAUGUGUGUUUCUGGGUGCAGAGGCAUCAGAGGGAUGGGCCAGGACAAAACACUGGUGGAUAGAGGGUAGGUAGCCAAGGUGUUCCGUGGGAACCAGGCCUGAGUGGUCAGGUGGCCGGUCCCAAUGGGUCAAAGCCUAUGGAUAUCAUGUGUGUGGGAACUUUUUCAGCAAAAACUCACACCUUUUUUGACUUCAGAAAAUUCAUACUAGAG
rnacentral:lncRNA from 1 species